GAGGAGGGAGGGUCUAGGUCUGGCCAAGUGUCCUUCACCUUGGGCCCAGGAAGUGGCUUUCCAGCUGGCUCAGAAUUGGAUCCGAACCAACUUUGAGGUCUACUCCAGAAAGUCAGCCAUGUAUGAGAAGUAUGACAUCAGCAACGGUGGUCAGCCAGGUGGUGGAGGGGAGUAUGAAGUUCAGGAGGGCUUUGGCUGGACCAGUGGAGUGGUCCUGAUGCUCCUGGACCGCUACGGCGACCGACUGGCUACGGCAAUGAACCAGAGAAACCGGGGCCCCAUCUUCCUGGACCUCACGUAAUUAGCAGGGAGAGUGCUGAUCGAAGCACAACUAAAAGUAAAAUGAAGUGAGGGGGCUGCUCGGGGCCAGCAGAGGGCACAGCAGUGCAGAGGGAUGCAGAGGGAAGGCGUCUGUGAGGAGGAGAGGUUUGAACAGAAUCGUAGA